rnacentral:pre_miRNA from 1 species
UUAACUCAAAUUUGUAUGGAGUUGGAAAGUUUUCCUACGUUUGCCGCUAGGAGCGCUUUUCCAAGUGGAUAGAAAUUUGAGUUA